rnacentral:ribozyme from 1 species
CCCUAAUCCCUGGGGGCCAUUGAAGGAGCGUUUACGUCGCGGUCCCUGUCAGGUGUUUUUGCACCUGCGAAUCCUUCA